AUUUAUAUAGUUUAACAAAACAUUACAUUUUCAUUGUAAAAUUAAAAUAUAAUUUUUAUAAAUA
rnacentral:tRNA from 2 species